rnacentral:rRNA from 1 species
UACGUAGGGAGCGAGCGUUGUCCGGAAUCAUUGGGCGUAAAGAGCAUGUAGGUGGAUCAAUUAGUCUGCUGUGAAAGUCGAAGGCUCAACCUUCGAAAGCCGGUGGAUACUGUUGAUCUAGAGUACGGAAGAGGCGAGUGGAAUUCCUGGUGUAGCGGUGGAAUGCGCAGAUAUCAGGAGGAACACCAAUAGCGAAGGCCGCUCGCUGGGACGUUACUGACACUGAGAUGCGAAAGCGUGGGGAGCAAACA